CCCUUAGAUGUUCUGGGCCGCACGCGCGCUACACUGACGAUGGCAACGAGUUUUUCCUUCGCCGAAAGGUGUGGGUAAUCUUUUGAAACAUCGUCGUGCUGGGGAUAGAUCAUUGCAAUUUUUGAUCUUGAACGAGGAAUUCCUAGUAAGCGCGAGUCAUCAGCUCGCGUUGAUUACGUCCCUGCCCUUUGUACACACCGCCCGUCGCUACUACCGAUUGAAUGGUUUAGUGAGGACUCCUGAUUGGCGCCGCCGCCCCGGCAACGGAGCAGCGGACUGCCGAAAAGUUGUUCAAACUUAAUCAUUUAGAGGAAGUAAAAGUCGUAACA
rnacentral:rRNA from 1 species